AGAGUUUGAUCCUGGCUCAGGACGAACGCUGGCGGCGUGCUUAACACAUGCAAGUCGAGCGGUAAGGCUCCUUCGGGAGUACACGAGCGGCGAACGGGUGAGUAACACGUGAGUAAUCUGCCCUUCACUUCGGGAUAACCAUCGGAAACGAUGGCUAAUACCGAAUACGACCAAGUUUUGCAUGAGAUCUUGGUGGAAAGUCUUUUCGGUGAAGGAUGUGCUCGCGGCCUAUCAGCUUGUUGGUGAGGUAACGGCUCACCAAGGCUUCGACGGGUAGCCGGCCUGAGAGGGUGACCGGCCACACUGGGACUGAGACACGGCCCAGACUCCUACGGGAGGCAGCAGUGGGGAAUAUUGGACAAUGGGCGAAAGCCUGAUCCAGCAACGCCGCGUGAGGGAUGACGGCCUUCGGGUUGUAAACCUCUCUCAGCACCGACGAAGCGCCAUUAAAGGCGGUGACGGUAGGUGCAGAAGAAGGACCGGCCAACUACGUGCCAGCAGCCGCGGUAAUACGUAGGGUCCGAGCGUUGUCCGGAAUUAUUGGGCGUAAAGGGCUCGUAGGCGGUCUGUCACGUCGGGAGUGAAAACUUACAGCUUAACUGUGAGCGUGCUUCCGAUACGGGCAGACUUGAGGUAUUCAGGGGAGAACGGAAUUCCUGGUGUAGCGGUGAAAUGCGCAGAUAUCAGGAGGAACACCGGUGGCGAAGGCGGUUCUCUGGGAAUAUCCUGACGCUGAGGAGCGAAAGUGUGGGGAGCGAACAGGAUUAGAUACCCUGGUAGUCC
rnacentral:rRNA from 1 species